rnacentral:rRNA from 1 species
UACGAAGGGGGCUAGCGUUGCUCGGAAUCACUGGGCGUAAAGCGCACGUAGGCGGAUUGUUAAGUCCUGUGUGAAAUCCCCCGGCUCAACUGGGGAACUGCACAGGAAACUAGCGGGCUUGAGUUCGGGAGAGGGAAGCGGAAUUCCUGGUGUAGCGGUGAAAUGCGCAGAUAUCAGGAGGAACACCGAUGGCGAAGGCAGGUCUCUGGGCCACUACUGACGCUGAGAAGCGAAAGCAUGGGGAGCGAACAGG